rnacentral:rRNA from 1 species
AUGAACCUUGGUCUUACUUUCAGCAAGUCCUCUUCAACUCUUGUUAGUGCUUUUUCUGAUUCUGACUGGGCAGGAUGUCCAGAUGACAGACGCUCCACUGGUGGUUUUGCAAUAUUCUUUGGUCCGAAUUUAAUAUCUUGGUGUGCAAAGAAACAAGCCACAGUGUCACGAUCAAGUACAGAAGCUGAGUAUAAAGCACUAGUCAAUGCCACAGCAGAGAUUAUAUGGGUUCAGUCCAUGUUGAAAGAGCUUGGUGUGAAGCACACUCGAAUUCCAUGUCUAUGGUGUGAUAAUCUUGGUGCUACUUACCUAUCUGCUAAUCCAGUUUUUCAUGCCAGCACAAAACACAUUGAGAUUGAUUUCCACUUUGUUCGAGUAAGG